CGCGAUUAGGGUCUAAACGACAGCCACCACCUUACUCACCUCCGGGGGCUCACCAUUGUCAGGCUGGAACCGAAGUUCCAGGGGCUCCUGAAAUCCGUGGUACCAGUUUAAAGUCUCCGAUCAGAACUUACGCUGAAACAGUGAAAACGGAAAAAAAUGGGAUGUGAUUAAAGAGAAUGAACAAAGUCCAAACGUAACAAAUUGUCGAAUGCAAACAUGUGAUAUAUUGACUUGGAAACCGGCCUGAGGAUGGAAGAUAAUAUAUGUGGAUCUAGGUUUCGUGGUACUGUACUGUACGCAAAAUGCUAAGAGUGACCAUGUCUCCGCUUUUUCCGAAGCCUGGCAUCAGUAAAUAAAAGACAUUUAUAUUUUUAAGCAAUAUAUUACAUGCAUUUAAUCCAAUAAAAUAACAAUAAAUUAA
rnacentral:sRNA from 1 species